rnacentral:rRNA from 1 species
GGGGAAUUUUGCGCAAUGGGGGCAACCCUGACGCAGCGACGCCGCGUGGGUGACGAAGGCCUUCGGGUUGUAAAGCCCUGUCUGGGGGGAAGAUAAUGACGGUACCCCCGGAGGAAGCCCCGGCUAACUACGUGCCAGCAGCCGCGGUAAUACGUAGGGGGCGAGCGUUGUCCGGAAUUACUGGGCGUAAAGGGCGUGUAGGCGGCCUGGCAAGUCGGCUGUGAAAUCCCCCGGCUCAACCGGGGAGUGGCAGUCGAAACUGUUGGGCUUGAGUGCAGGAGAGGAGGGUGGAAUUCCUGGUGUAGCGGUGAAAUGCGUAGAUAUCAGGAGGAACACCGGUGGCGAAGGCGACCUUCUGGCCUGUUACUGACGCUGAGGCGCGAAAGCCAGGGGAGCGAAC